AUCUUUGCGCUUGGGGCAAUGACGCAGUCGAUGAGGUAUUAACCGAGGCGCGUCAAUUGCUGGUUGAAAACUAUUUCCAAACCCCCUCUCAGGCCUGGGCUUGCCGCCCUGGCCUCUGAGAAUUUCUGGAAGGGUCCCCUAAUUGGGUAAGACC
rnacentral:snRNA from 1 species